UAUUGGUCUGCGCGAUAUUCGUUCCCUAGGGUUGUGUUAGAUUUCUUUCGCAGUGCUGGAAAUUGCUAAAGUUGAUUGAUUGGCCGGUGUUAUGAUUUGUAUGCGUCUUGGUAUGAUGAAAAUUUUGUAUGUCUAGGAUACAUUUUGGUUGUGUGUUGAAAUGCUUGUAGGUUAGGGUUUUGCUUAUGGAAACUAAGAGCUAGAUUGAUGUCUAAAAAUUCCUGCCUCCUCCAUUAUUGAAGACCUUGACGAGCGUUUCUUAAAUUGUCGG
rnacentral:misc_RNA from 1 species